rnacentral:rRNA from 1 species
GCCGAGGACGACCGGUCCGCCCACUGGGUGUGUAUCUGGCUCGGCCUGGGCAUCUUCUUGGAGAACGUAUCUGCACUUGACUGUGUGGUGCGGUAUCCAGGACUUUUACUUUGAGGAAAUUAGAGUGUUUCAAGCAGGCACACGCCUUGAAUACAUUAGCAUGGAAUAAUAAGAUAGGACCUUGGUUCUAUUUUGUUGGUUUCUAGAGCUGAGGUA